rnacentral:rRNA from 1 species
UACGAAGGGGGCUAGCGUUGUUCGGAAUUACUGGGCGUAAAGCGCACGUAGGCGGCUUUGCAAGUUAGAGGUGAAAGCCCGGGGCUCAACUCCGGAAUUGCCUUUAAAACUGCAUCGCUAGAAUUGUGGAGAGGUAAGUGGAAUUCCGAGUGUAGAGGUGAAAUUCGUAGAUAUUCGGAAGAACACCAGUGGCGAAGGCGACUUACUGGACACAUAUUGACGCUGAGGUGCGAGAGCGUGGGGAGCGAACCGG